rnacentral:rRNA from 1 species
UCAGACCGGAGUAAUCCAGGUCAGUUUCUAUCUAUACAUGAGUUUCUUCUAGUACGAAAGGACCGAAGAAACACGGCCUAUAUUUAUACAAGCCGUAGCCACUAAAUUAUGAUUUAAACUUAAUAAUAUAGUAGCCCGUAAAUGUACUCAAAACAAGAGUUG